UACGUAGGGGGCUAGCGUUGUCCGGAAUCAUUGGGCGUAAAGAGCGUGUAGGCGGCCCGGUAAGUCCGCUGUGAAAGUCGGGGGCUCAACCCUCGAAUGCCGGUGGAUACUGUCGGGCUAGAGUGCGGAAGAGGCGAGUGGAAUUCCUGGUGUAGCGGUGAAAUGCGCAGAUAUCAGGAGGAACACCGAUUGCGAAGGCAGCUCGCUGGGACGUCACUGACGCUGAGACGCGAAAGCUAGGGUAGCAAACAGG
rnacentral:rRNA from 1 species